UCACUUCCCACCGGCUUCCUUAGAUCCUGCAUUCCCUGUAAAGAGUUUGCAAUGUGGAUUGUUGAACCAAAAUCAAUCCACCAAGUAUUAGUGUUAACUUCAGACAUAUUGGAUUCAUAACAAACGAAUGAGGAUAGAAUACCUUUCUUCUCGAUCCACUUUUCAUACUUGAUGCAAUCUUUCUUCAUGUGCCCCUUCUUUUUACAGAAGAAACACUUAUGCACCUUCUUUAUGUCAGCUUGAGAAGGAAUUUUGUUU